rnacentral:rRNA from 1 species
CCUACGGGAGGCAGCAGUGGGGGAUAUUGCACAAUGGGGGAAACCCUGAUGCAGCGACGCAGCGUGUGGGAAGACGGUCCUCUGGAUUGUAAACCACUGUCCCCCGGGACGAAGCUGACGGUACCUGGGGAGGAAGCUCCGGCUAACUACGUGCCAGCAGCCGCGGUAAUACGUAGGGAGCGAGCGUUGUCCGGAAUUACUGGGUGUAAAGGGAGCGUAGGCGGGACUGCAGGUUGGGGGUCAAAUCGCACGGCUCAACCGGUAGCGGAACUCAAAACUGGAGUUCUUGAGGGCAGUAGAGGCAGGCGGAAUUCGUAGUGUAGAGGUGAGAUGCGUAGAUAGUAGGAGGAACACCAGUGGCGAAGGGGGCCUGCUGGGCUGUUACGGACGCUGAGGCUCGAAAGUGUGGGUAGCAAACAGGAUUAGAUACCCGAGUAGUC